AAGAAUGGUGGGGGUCUCAUGUUUCCUGGGGAACAGGAUCUGCUUGGGGCGAUGAAGAAACAUAUCUGAUGGGGGUGUUUUCUGGUAACUAUGAUCAUUAGGUUGGGCCCCGUGGUUCACAUGAGAUCAUUUUAAUACUCGCGGCAUUUUUGUAGUAGAUGGGGAUUUCCUGGGCGUGAUCUAUGGGGGUCUCUCAAGCAAAAAGAAAGAAUGGUGGGGUGCUGUCUCGGGUGUGUGAAAUAUAUAAUAUCAAUAGGGUGUCUCGUUUUCCCACGGGAGAAGACAAUGUGCUUGUAGUUUUAAAAAACAUAUCUCAUGGGGGUGUUUUUUAGGUAACUAUAAUCAAUAGCGGGGGCCUCAUGGCUCCCGUGUCAAUAGCGGGGGCCCAUGGUUCACAUGAGAUCAUUUUAAUACCAUUUUUAUAGUAGAUGGGGGUUUCUUUGGACUGAUCCGUGGCGGGGUCUUUUUUAGCUAGCUCUAAUCAAUACUAGGGGCCUCAUGGUUUGUAUAAAAAAGACAAUGUGAUUGAGGCUUUAAAAAACAUAUCUGGCACUUAAACAUUCCUCCCCUAUUGUAUAAAAUGGUAUAAAAGGCAGGUGUCGACGGUAGGUUUCCAGAUCACUCGCAAAAAUCAGCGAACAACGUCAAGACAGAGAGUUUGAACACAGAGCCUGGAGACGACUACAAGACAUCGGACAUUGACAUGGGCUGUUGCAUGUACGAGAGCUGCAUCUUCACCAAUUGAAGUGAUCGAUCUGACUUCACCGCCACCAGUGGCCCUAGUGUCACCGGUCCAAAACCCAAUGCAGGGAUUUAAUGUGGACUUUAUAACGCCUCAAAACCAGGCACAAGGAUUUGCAGAGGGCGAUCGCUCUACGAUAGACGGGGGAGUUUGGGGACAGACUUCGGGAUUCGUGGAAAACACUUUAACACCGCCGGUCCAAAACCCACUGCAUUUUAUUGUGGGGUUUACAAGUCCAAACUCAAGUCACGGGAUUGCGCCACUGACCCCCUCAACGCUGGAUGUGACAGAGGGAGAAAACGACACAGAAUUCGAGGAAAACACAGCAGAGUCCGAUGUGGGACAAGAAACGGGACAGGAGGAGACAUCUGACGCUGGAGUCUACAACCAGGAAAGAUUUCAUUAUUUUCCAGAUAGUGAAAGUGAAUAUGUUGACAUGCAAGCUCUAAAUCAGAGGGAUAUAGUCUCAGACAAUGAUGGAAUUGAAACAGUGGAUUUCAACACCUCUGUGCUAAUUGUCGAACAAGUGUUCAGAAGAUACAUGUAUGAUAUAGCAUGUUUAAAUCGCCGCAUGAUUGAGAAUAUAUAUAAUCAACUUAGACAGAACGUUAGACGCAGGCAUUCUGUCAAUUCAUAUUCAGCUAACGCUAGACGUGCCACUCGUGAACAAAGAACACUGCCACAAAGAGUCCAUCGCAGGUUGCAAUUUGAAGACUAAUUUUUGAUCGGGUGAUAAAGACAAAUGGCUGAACCAGAUCACAACAAUUCCCCUGAAAUUAGAGAGCAUCUCCUCCACUUGAUCUCUGAGAUAAACCGAGAAAGAUCCGAAGGCGGGGCUAAUCAGGGUUCUCCCCGAAACAGUCCAAUUCUGCCUCAGCAUGAUUCACCUGAAAGAGGGGGAGAAGUUUUUCUUCCAUCCCCUGAUGAGCUAAUUUCCUUGCUCCAAAUGUACAGAUACCCCUCCCCCGUUCCGCAUAGCAGUGCGGAAUCAGAUCACAACAAUUCCCCUGAAAUUAGAGAGCAUCUUCUCCAGUUGAUCUCAGAGAUCAACUGUCAAAGAUCUGAAGGCCGGGCUAAUCAGCCUUCUCCCCAAAAUAGCCCAAUUCAGGCUCGGCAUGAUUCACCUGAAAGAGGGGGAGAAGUUUUUCUUCCAUCCCCUGAUGAGCUAAUUUCCUUACUCCAAAUGUACAGAUACCCCUCCCCCGUUCCUUCGCCCGUAUCGCAAAGCAAUGUUGACUCAGGACCUUGGUCUCCAUCAGACAGUCAGUGUUGUGAUGCACUCAACAGUCAAAUAGAUGACCCGUGGUCUCCAUCAGACAGUCAGUGUUGUGAUGCACUCAAC